rfam:Virgibacillus necropolis strain LMG 19488 chromosome, complete genome.
UCCAACUUUGCAACGGAGGAUGGGAAUGAUGGAACCAUGUUUCCUGAAACCAUCCCGUCAAAAAAUCCUGCAUGCGUCAAGGCUGACAGGCUUUGGGGUAUGGAGCACAGGUGAUUCGGCAGAACGAAGGCUGUAGCCACUUCUUAGUAGAAGGUAUGCCGACGAAUAUGCCGCACGGCUGAAAA